UGUCCUCACAGGGCAAGAGUGUCCUUGCUAACCACAUUUGAUCCUCUGGAAUUGGAUGAUUGGGAUGGGUCCCAAGUAAGAAUAUCUGAGCUCUUCAUACUUUUCCAAUGACAGGGCUUUACACGAGAGGAUUCUGUUGUCUGCAACCAAGAGGCUCAACCAAUACACAGUAAUUGUACAAUUUUCUUCGGUGAGAUCUACACUGCAGUAUAGAGCCUCUUGAGGGAUGCUCAAGAAAAAUCAGUCUCUGGACAAUCUAGAGGAUUGCUCAUUACCAAUCCAUUCACUUGAUAGGCUGCCAGUCCAUGGGUCUCAAAAUAACAUGAGUUAAACAUCUUAAACAUAUUCAUCAUGUGGCAACAUCAACUCAGAAAGCAGUACAUCUUGGAGGCUGUCACAAACCCAG